UUUUUUCAACAGAUAUUUCUAAUGCCCUAGAUUAGAAAGUGCAAGACACUUUUCUAUGCAAUCGAGUCACAGACAGAAAAGUUCCUUCUCUUGGAGAGCUUGUAUUCCUUUGAGGGAAGAUACAUCAUAUACAGCAAAAUCGAGAAUCACCAGGGUCUGCAACCAUACAGAAGACCACUAAGCCUCCUCGGAAUCAUCUGAAGAGACAACACAACUUGGCUCGACUCAGAGACCCAUUGUUGACUUGCCAUGUCAGUGCAGACUCGACAAGCUGGGAGCAGCUCGGCACAAGGGGCCUUUGUGUCUUUUCUAGUGGCGCCUGGUCAAAGGACGGGGCCACAGCAAUGGGCAUUGCAUGCCGUAUCUCAAUGCUCAUGAGAACUAUGGAAAUAAGUGAAGCGCACUCAAAUGAGAACAAGAAGAGGUUCUUUAUUCAGAACUUUCCCUUGCAAAGGGGGUUGGCCACCAUCACUCGUGUUUGGCAGCAGCUCGAAGAGAGGGGGCAGAGCUUUCCAGUGGAAGAAGGAAUGGCCUCAGGUGUCUACUGGCCAGUGAAAUACAGGACAUAAAUGAAAUAUACGACAGUGUUCUGGAGACAAGGAUUUGGAAGUUAUAGUUGUGUAAGUGCCAGUGAAAGCUUGGGGGAUGAUGAUCUCACCAAGUGUUUAUGUCUGCAAUGAGAAAAGAAGACUGAAGUCUGACUCUGCAAGGAAAUACUAGUAAUUAAGAGGCAAGUCAGGAUGAGCCUGUGAAGGAAAGACAUGACCCAACUUAUCCAGUGCUCCAAGGUGGCCUGGAGCCAGGUUUCCGGGUUAAGCCAUGAGUCAGCCAACGGUGGCUUCAGUGAAAACAGCUUCAGGUGUCAUAGCCACGUGGAAGAGAAUGGAGAUUUAACACCAGGGGUGGUGAUUGUACAUGUAUAAAAAAAACCCUGCACCCUACAACCUCUACCCAAGUCCCUUCUUGGAAACCUAGAAAAUAAAACCCAAAUAUAGUUUUACCU